rnacentral:rRNA from 1 species
GACGAACCGUGCGAACGUUAUUCGGAAUCACUGGGCUUAAAGGGCGCGUAGGCGGGCCGCCAGGUCCGGGGUGAAAGCCUCCAGCUCAACUGGAGAAGUGCCUUGGAUACCGGCGGCCUCGAGGGAGGCAGGGGCGUGCGGAACUUCGGGUGGAGCGGUGAAAUGCGUUGAUAUCCGAAGGAACACCGGUGGCGAAAGCGGCGCGCUGGACCUCUUCUGACGCUGAGGCGCGAAAGCCAGGGGAGCAAACGGG